AUUGAACGCUGGCGGCAGGCCUAACACAUGCAAGUCGAGCGAGCGGCGGACGGGUGAGUAAUGUAUGGGGAACUGCCCGAUAGAGGGGGAUAACUACUGGAAACGGUGGCUAAUACCGCAUACUAUCGGAUGAACCCAUCUGGGAUUAGCUAGUAGGUGGGGUAAAGGCUCACCUAGGCGACGAUCUCUAGCUGGGCUGAUAGGAUGAACAGCCACACUGGUACUGAGACACGGGCCAGACUCCUACGGGAGGCAGCAGUGGGGAAUAGUGCACAAGGGGCUCAAGCCUGAUGCAGCCAUGCCGCGUGUAUGAAGAAGGCCGUAGGGUUGUAAAGUACGUUCAGCGGGGAGGCGUUACCCGCAGAAGAAGCACCGGCUAACUCCGUGCCAGCCGCCGCGGUAAUAC
rnacentral:rRNA from 1 species